rnacentral:tRNA from 1 species
GAAGGUAUAGCUCAGUGGUAGAGCGUGUGCUUAACAUGCGCAAGGUCCUGGGUUCCAUCCCUGGCGCCUCCA